rnacentral:rRNA from 1 species
GAUGAACGCUGGCGGCGUGCCUAAUACAUGCAAGUCGAGCGAAUGGAUUAAGAGCUUGCUCUUAUGAAGUUAGCGGCGGACGGGUGAGUAACACGUGGGUAACCUGCCCAUAAGACUGGGAUAACUCCGGGAAACCGGGGCUAAUACCGGAUAACAUUUUGAACCGCAUGGUUCGAAAUUGAAAGGCGGCUUCGGCUGUCACUUAUGGAUGGACCCGCGUCGCAUUAGCUAGUUGGUGAGGUAACGGCUCACCAAGGCAACGAUGCGUAGCCGGCCUGAGAGGGUGAUCGGCCACACCGGGACUGAGACACGGCCCAGACGCCUACGGGAGGCAGCAGUAGGGAAUCUUCCGCAAUGGACGAAAGUCUGACGGAGCAACGCCGCGUGAGUGAUGAAGGCUUUCGGGUCGUAAAACUCUGUUGUUAGGGAAGAACAAGUGCUAGUUGAAUAAGCUGGCACCUUGACGGUACCUAACCAGAAAGCCACGGCUAACUACGUGCCAGCCGCCGCCGUAA